ACUCAUUGUUUCAAGGGCAUUUAAAAACCAAGGGAGAAAAAAAUUUAUUUUUAGCUAAAUAAAUGGAAUUUUCUAAACCAUAACAAGUAACCAUAGCAGUUGUAAUUUAAUUCUGUUCAUAAUAGUUGCAAAAGGAAAAAAAAAAAAAUCCCAAAUUCAUACAAGUAGAAGGAUAUUAGGAAUAAAUUAAAAUAUCUUUUUAAAGUUGUUUUUUUGAUUCACAUUUUCAUCUUAAAAUAGAAUCCAUAUAAUUUUCUCAUUCUCACACAUCACUCACUGUUCAUCUUUUGCCUGGUAGGGUACACAUGUUGUUUUUGCCCAGGGCUUCUCAGGGCGCUCUGCUAAUUGCUUACCUCUCCCCAGGGGAAGGCUGGCAGCUCAGCUGUUCUCUUCUUUCUCACCUAGAUUUUAUGGGACAAAUGCUGCUGGGAACUAGAGCUUACAGCUCCUGUGGAGGGGAUGGCUGAUGCCUCCCGGGCUCCCUCCCCUCCGGGCCGCUACCUGCCCAGUUCCCUUCAACAAUAGCCGGGGAAAGCAGUAUGUAUCCGGGAAAUCCCAGCUCUACCGAGAAGAGAGGGAAAGGUCAGAGGGAGGCUUCAGUAGGCAUGAAGCGUACUGGAAUUUGGCCUACAGUGGACAAACACACAGAUCUUCAUCGCUACAAAAAACAUCCCUUGAUGUUGCCCCAUCCAUUCAAACCAAACCUCAGAGAGCCCCAGGAAGAAGAACUCAUAGAUGUUUACAGUGCUGGUCGGCAUUGUUUAAAAGGUAGGACUGCACAGGUCAGAAAGUCCUAUGAUGGCAUUGUGAACUAAUACUCAACCUAUAAAAGCAAAUGUCAUAUUAUAAUUCCUUAGUUGCAGGCUUCGGAAAAAGAACAACCAAAAUUUUUGCCAGCUGGGAGAUGAAAAUGACAUGGAAAGGAGGCCACUGGUAAGAACAACACAUAUGGAAAAGUAUGGUUAUAUUCGUUACCGAAGGCUGUGUAGCAGUUUUCCCCCAAACUUUGUAGUUCAUUUUUUUAGUUUUUAAAAAAGAUUUUAUUUAUUUAUUUGACAGAGAGAGAGUCAGAGGGCACAAGCGGGGGAGGGAGGGAGGGACAGCAGAAGGAGAGGGAGAUGGAGACUCCCCCCUGAGCAGGGAGCCUGAUGACUUGGUGCUCAAUGACCCCGAGAUCAUGACCUGAGCCAGGCAGAUGUUUAACCGACUGAGCCACCCAGGCAUCCCCAAACUUAGUAAUUUAAAACAGUAAGAAACAUUUAUUAUUUCACACAGUUUCAGGGCAUCUGGAGCCAAAGAGUGCCUCAGCCUAUUGGUUCUAUCUCAUGAUCUCUUAUGAAUCCACAGUUAAGAUGACAGCCAAGGCUGCAGUCAUUUGAAGGUUUGGGGCUGGAAAAUCCACUUUCAAGAUGGUUUAUUCACAUAACUGGCAAAUCAGUGCUGACUGUUGGCCAAAGGAUUUACUUGCUCACCAUAUGGCUUCCUACAUGUCCUCACAACAGAGUAUCUAGCUUCUCCAGAGUGGACAAUCCAAGAGAGAGCCAGACAGAAGCCACAGCGUCUUUUAUAGCUCAGCGCUGGAAGUCAUGGCCAUACCUUUCUGCAGUAUCUGUUGGUUACACAGGUCAUCCCCAUUCCGUGCCACAGCAGAACACAUACAGGUGGAAACACUGGGAAGUGGGAAUUUGGGGGGCUAUCUUGGAGGGUGGCCACCACAAUGAUAGAGACAUUUCUGUAUAUACAGGAUUGAGAAGAGAUUCAUGUGUUGGCUGAGUGAUUGAUUUUUUUUUUUUUAAGAUUUUAUUUAUUGUCAGAGGGAGAGAGAGCAUAAGCAGGCAGAGUGGCAGGCAAAGGCAGAGAGAAAAGCACGCUCCCCGCUGAGCAAGGAGCCCUAUUUCGGGACUCAGUCCCAGGACCCUGGGAUCGUGACCUGAGCUGAAGGGAGUGGCUUAACUGAUUGAGCCACCCAGUUGUCCCUGGCUGAGUGAUUGAUUGCACUGGACCAGUGGUCUCAAUGCUAGCUGCGAACAGUUGCCUGUGUCAGAAUGACCCGAAGGCACUUCAAAUAAUAUUGGUUUCCAUGGCCUCUUCCCCAAAUAGUCUGAUUAAAUCAGGGUUGAUGCCCAGAUUUGAGAAUUACUGGAUUAGGUGAUGUCCCAGGUCAAGCCCAACCUUAACCCUGUUCCCCAAACUUUCCAGAUGAUAGGUGUUACCCAGGGAGUUUGUUUAAAAUACAGAUUUCCAGGCCCUACCUCCAGCUUCAUGAAUCAAAACCCCAAGUGAAGGCCCUAAAAAUAUGUAUUUCUGCUUAAUUUUUUAAAAAGUUUAGACCAAGUCAUUCAACAUGAUUGAAAAUUCUAAAAGGUAUCAAAGAAUGUUGUUAAAAAGUGUCUUUCUCAACUUUGUCCUCCCCAAAUCCCAGUUCACCUUCCUAGAGAGGGUGAUCAGUAUUACUUUGUAUGUGUGUAUUCUUGCAACAAUAAAUGCACAUAUAUAAAUGUGGAUAUAUAUAUAUAUAUACACACACAUUUUUUAUUUUAAAGAUUGUAAUUUAUUUAUUUGUUUAUUUGACAGAGAGAGAAAGAGAAUGCUCGAGCACAAGCAGAGGAAACAGCAGGCAGAGGGAGAAGCAGGCUCCCCGCUGAGCAGAGAGCCCGAUGGAUGCAUCUCAGGACCCUGGGAUCAUGACCUGAGCUGAAGGCAGACGUUCCACCGACUGGCCACUCAGGCGCCCCUAAAUGUGUAUAUUUUUGAAAUUUCUUCUUCUCUUUUUAAAAACAAAUUAAAAAUCAAAAGCAUAUAUGGUCAAAAGCCAGUUUGUUCUUGAUCCUAAUCACUAGCUCUCCUCUUCAGACUCGAACCCUUUUCCCAGUUUCUUAUGGUUCCAGAGCCAGGACUCUGUCAUUUUAAUAAGCGACUGAGGCAUUCUUACAGCCCGG
ensembl:lincRNA